rnacentral:snRNA from 1 species
GAAUGUGAGGGUGAUAUGGUUGCGACAUCUGUCACCCCAUUAAUCCCCAGAGUUGAUUUGGCUGACCUGGCUGGCUAGGCAGGUGUCCCCUUCCUCCCUCACCACUCCACGUGCAUCCCUCCCGAGGCUGCACACUUGGUUGAAAAGGAUGACCAUCCCUGAUAAAAGAGAACCCGUCUUUGUGUAUAUGACUAGAUCACCCCCCCAGAACCUCCAAACAGCUCUCAAUGUAAGUGUUUUUUGGGGAGAUAAAUAGUUUUCUAUAUUCUUUAAAUUCCAAUCACUAUAUCAAGAU